UGGCGGACGGGUGAGUAAUGUCCGGGAAACUGCCUGAUGGAGGGGGAUAACUACUGGAAACGGUAGCUAAUACCGCAUAACGUCGCAAGACCAAAGAGGGGGACCUUCGGGCCUCUUGCCAUCGGAUGUGCCCAGAUGGGAUUAGCUAGUAGGUGGGGUAAAGGCUCACCUAGGCGACGAUCCCUAGCUGGUCUGAGAGGAUGACCAGCCACACUGGAACUGAGACACGGUCCAG
rnacentral:rRNA from 1 species